rnacentral:rRNA from 1 species
CCUACGGGCGGCAGCAGUGGGGAAUAUUGCACAAUGGGCGCAAGCCUGAUGCAGCCAUGCCGCGUGUGUGAAGAAGGCCUUCGGGUUGUAAAGCACUUUCAGCGGGGAGGAAGGCGUUAAGGUUAAUAACCUUGGCGAUUGACGUUACCCGCAGAAGAAGCACCGGCUAACUCCGUGCCAGCAGCCGCGGUAAUACGGAGGGUGCAAGCGUUAAUCGGAAUUACUGGGCGUAAAGCGCACGCAGGCGGUCUGUCAAGUCGGAUGUGAAAUCCCCGGGCUCAACCUGGGAACUGCAUUCGAAACUGGCAGGCUAGAGUCUUGUAGAGGGGGGUAGAAUUCCAGGUGUAGCGGUGAAAUGCGUAGAGAUCUGGAGGAAUACCGGUGGCGAAGGCGGCCCCCUGGACAAAGACUGACGCUCAGGUGCGACAGCGUGGGGAGCAAACAGGAUUAGAUACCCCAGUAGUC